rnacentral:rRNA from 1 species
AGUGAACGCUGGCGGUAGGCCUAACACAUGCAAGUCGAACGGCAGCACAGUAAGAGCUUGCUCUUACGGGUGGCGAGUGGCGUACGGGUGAGGAAUACAUCGGAAUCUACUUUUUCGUGGGGGAUAACGUAGGGAAACUUACGCUAAUACCGCAUACGACCUACGGGUGAAAGCAGGGGAUCUUCGGACCUUGCGCGAUUGAAUGAGCCGAUGUCGGAUUAGCUAGUUGGCGGGGUAAAGGCCCACCAAGGCGACGAUCCGUAGCUGGUCUGAGAGGAUGGUAGGCCACACUGGAACUGAGACACGGUCCAGACGCCUACGGGAGGCAGCAGUGGGGAAUAGUGGACAAUGGGCGCAAGCCUGAUCCAGCCAUACCGCGUGGGUGAAGAAGGCCUUCGGGUUGUAAAGCCCUUUUGUUGGGAAAGAAAAGCAGCAGGUUAAUACCCCGCUGUUCUGACGGUACCCAAAGAAUAAGCACCGGCUAACUUCGUG